UGAGUAACACGUAUCCAACCUGCCGUCUACUCUUGGACAGCCUUCUGAAAGGAAGAUUAAUACAAGAUGGCAUCAUGAGUCCGCAUGUUCACAUGAUUAAGGGUAUUCCGGUAGACGAUGGGGAUGCGUUCCAUUAGAUAGUAGGCGGGGUAACGGCCCACCUAGUCUUCGAUGGAUAGGGGUUCUGAGAGGAAGGUCCCCCACAUUGGGACUGAGACACGGUCCAA
rnacentral:rRNA from 1 species